rnacentral:rRNA from 1 species
AAGAGGAGUCAAAUGCUUCUUUUCUUAAGGACAAGCUGUGAUGGGGAGGGAAAUAAUAGUACCGAAGUUCCUGAUGUCACACUGCCGAGAAAAGCUUCUAGUGAGAAAACAGCGGCCCGUACCGCAAACCGACACAGGUAGUCGAGGAGAGAAUCCUAAGGUGAGCGAGAGAACUCUCGUUAAGGAACUCGGCAAAAUGACCCCGUAACUUCGGGAGAAGGGGUGCUGAUCAUACGAUCAGCCGCAGUGAAUAGGCCCAAGCGACUGUUUAUCAAAAACACAGGUCUCUGCAAAAUCGUAAGAUGAAGUAUAGGGGCUGACGCCUGCCCGGUGCUGGAAGGUUAAGAGGAGUGCUUAGCGCAAGCGAAGGUACGAAUUGAAGCCCCAGUAAACGGCGGCCGUAACUAUAACGGUCCUAAGGUAGCGAAAUUCCUUGUCGGGUAAGUUCCGACCCGCACGAAAGGCGUAACGAUUUGGGCACUGUCUCAACGAGAGACUCGGUGAAAUUUUAGUACCUGUGAAGAUGCAGGUUACCCGCGACAGGACGGAAAGACCCCAUGGAGCUUUACUGUAGUUUGAUAUUGAGUGUCUGUACCGCAUGUACAGGAUAGGUAGGAGCCGUAGAAAUCGGAACGCUAGUUUCGAUGGAGGCGCUGGUGGGAUACUACCCCUGCGUUAUGGCCACUCUAACCCGCACCACUAAUCGUGGUGGGAGACAGUGUCAGAUGGGCAG